AUAUAGCUCAGUGGUAGAGCACUUGCCUAGCAUGUGAAAGCCCUGGGUUCAAUCCCCAGUAU
rnacentral:tRNA from 1 species